CAGCAGCCACGGGAAUACGUAGGUGGCAAGCGUUGUCCGGAAUUAUUGGGCGUAAAGCGCGCGCAGGCGGAUAGGUCAGUCUGUCUUAAAAGUGCGGGGCUCAACCCCGUGAGGGGAUGGAAACUGUAUGCCUUGAGUGCAGGAGAGGAAAGCGGAAUUCCCAGUGUAGCGGUGAAAUGCGUAGAUAUUAGGAAGAACACCAGUGGCGAAGGCGACUUUCUGGACGAAAACUGACGCUGAGGCGCGAAAGCCAGGGGAGCGAACGGGAUUAGAUACCCCCGUAGUCCCUGUCUCUUAUACA
rnacentral:rRNA from 1 species